rnacentral:rRNA from 1 species
GAUGAACGCUGGCGGCGUGCUUAACACAUGCAAGUCGAACGAAGCGCUUAGGUGGAUCCCUUCGGGGUGAAGCUUAAGUGACUUAGUGGCGGACGGGUGAGUAACGCGUGGGUAACCUGCCUCAUACAGGGGGAUAACAGUUGGAAACGACUGCUAACACCGCAUAAAACAGUAGUGCCGCAUGGCACAACUGUCAAAUAUUUAUAGGUAUGAGAUGGGCCCGCGUCUGAUUAGCUAGUUGGUGGGGUAAUGGCCUACCAAGGCGACGAUCAGUAGCCGGCUUGAGAGAGUGACCGGCCACAUUGGGACUGAGACACGGCCCAAACUCCUACGGGAGGCAGCAGUGGGGAAUAUUGCACAAUGGGCGAAAGCCUGAUGCAGCGACGCCGCGUGAGUGAAGAAGUAUUUCGGUAUGUAAAGCUCUAUCAGCAGGGAAGAUAAUGACAGUACCUGACUAAGAAGCCCCGGCUAACUACGUGCCAGCCGCCGCAGUAA